AAUGGCUGCAGUAAUAUAACUGUACAAAGGUAGCAUAAUCAUUAGUUUUUUAAUUAAAAGCUUGUAUGAAAGGUUGGACGAAGUAAAAUCUGUCUCUUUUUAAUAAAAUUAGAAUUUAAUUUUUAAGUAAAAAAGCUUAAAUUUUUUUAAAAGACGAGAAGACCCUAUAGAGUUUAAUAAUUUAUUUUAAAUAAUUAAUUUAGAUUUAUUUAUUUUAUUUAUUAUUAAAUUAUUUUAUUGGGGUAAUAAAAAGAUUAAUAUAAUUCUUUUUUUUUAUUUACAUUAAUUUAUGAAUACAAUGAUCCAUUUUUUAUGAUUAAAAGAUUAAAUUACCUUAGGGAUAACAGCGUAAUUUUUUUAAAGAGUUCAUAUCGAUAAAAAAGUUUGCGACCUCGAUGUUGGAUUAAAGAUUAAUUUAGGUGUAGAAGUUUAAAUUUUUGGUCUGUUCGACCAUUAAAUCUUUACAUGAUCUGAGUUCAAACCGGUGUAAGCCAGGUUGGUUUCUAUCUUUAUAAAAUUUUUAUAUUUUAGUACGAAAGGACCAAAUAUUUAAUAUAUUAAAUAUUUAAUUAUUUUGAAUAU
rnacentral:rRNA from 1 species